rnacentral:rRNA from 1 species
GACGAACGCUGGCGGCGUGCCUAAUACAUGCAAGUCGAACGCAGUGGGGACGGGUGAGUAACACGUGGGUAACCUCCCAUAAGAGGGGAUAACCCUUGGAAACAGCUGCUAAACCGAUACUGGUGGAUGGACCCGCGGUGCAUUAGCUAUUUUGUGAGGUAACGGCUUACCAAGGCCACGAUGCAUAGCGGAGCUGAGAGGGUGGUCGGGCAAACUGGGACUGGUGAAAGGCCCAGACUCCUACGGGGGGCAGCAGUAGGGAAUCUUCGGAAAUGGACGAAAGUCUGACUGCGGAACGCCGCGGGGGUGGAGGAGGUUUUCGGAUCGUAAAGCUCUGUUCAUAAGGAAGCGGUACUUAACCAGAAAGGGACGGCUAACUACGUGCCAGCAGCCGCGGUAAUAC